CCCGCACAAGCGGUGGAGCAUGUGGUUUAAUUCGAUGCAACGCGAAGAACCUUACCUGGUCUUGACAUCCACAGAACUUUCCAGAGAUGGAUUGGUGCCUUCGGGAACUGUGAGACAGGUGCUGCAUGGCUGUCGUCAGCUCGUGUUGUGAAAUGUUGGGUUAAGUCCCGCAACGAGCGCAACCCUUAUCCUUUGUUGCCAGCGGUCCGGCCGGGAACUCAAAGGAGACUGCCAGUGAUAAACUGGAGGAAGGUGGGAUGACGUCAAGUCAUCAUGGCCCUUACGACCAGGGCUACACACGUGCUACAAUGGCGCAUACAAAGAGAAGCGACCUCGCGAGAGCAAGCGGACCUCAUAAAGUGCGUCGUAGUCCGGAUUGGAGUCUGCAACUCGACUCCAUGAAGUCGGAAUCGCUAGUAAUCGUGGAUCAGAAUGCCACGGUCGAAUACGUUCCCGGGCCUU
rnacentral:rRNA from 1 species